rnacentral:rRNA from 1 species
CCUACGGGAGGCAGCAGUGAGGAAUAUUGGUCAAUGGCCGAGAGGCUGAACCAGCCAAGUCGCGUGAGGGAAGAAUGUCCUAUGGAUUGUAAACCUCUUUUGUCAGGGAGCAAAGUCACCCACGUGUGGGCGUUGGAGAGUACCUGAAGAAAAAGCAUCGGCUAACUCCGUGCCAGCAGCCGCGGUAAUACGGAGGAUGCGAGCGUUAUCCGGAUUGAUUGGGUUAAAAGGGUGCGUAGGCGGGUUAUCAAGUCAGCGGUAAAAGCGUGGAGCUCAACUCCAGCCAGCCGUUGAAACUGAUGGUCUUGAGUGGGCGAGAAGUAUGCGGAAUGCGUGGUGUAGCGGUGAAAUGCGUAGAGAUGACGCAGAACUCCGAUUGCGAAGGCAGCAUACCGGCGCCCGACUGACGCUGAAGCACGAAAGCGUGGGUAGCGAACAGGAUUAGAUACCCGGGUAGUC